rnacentral:rRNA from 1 species
AUUGAACGCUGGCGGCAGGCCUAACACAUGCAAGUCGAGCGGAUGAAGGGAGCUUGCUCCUGGAUUCAGCGGCGGACGGGUGAGUAAUGCCUAGGAAUCUGCCUGGUAGUGGGGGAUAACGUCCGGAAACGGGCGCUAAUACCGCAUACGUCCUGAGGGAGAAGGUGGGGGAUCUUCUGACCUUACGCUAUCAGAUGAGCCUAGGUCGGAUUAGCUAGUUGGUGGGGUAAAGGCCUACCAAGGCGACGAUCCGUAACCGGUCUGAAAGGAUGAUCAGUCACACUGGAACUGAGACACGGUCCAGACUCCUACGGGAGGCAGCAGUGGGGAAUAUUGGACAAUGGGCGAAAGCCUGAUCCAGCCAUGCCGCGUGUGUGAAGAAGGUCUUCGGAUUGUAAAGCACUUUAAGUUGGGAGGAAGGGCAGUAAGUUAAUACCUUGCUGUUUUGACGUUACCAACAGAAUAAGCACCGGCUAACUUCGUGCCAGCAGCCGCGGUAAUACGAAGGGUGCAAGCGUUAAUCGGAAUUACUGGGCGUAAAGCGCGCGUAGGUGGUUCAGCAAGUUGGAUGUGAAAUCCCCGGGCUCAACCUGGGAACUGCAUCCAAAACUACUGAGCUAGAGUACGGUAGAGGGUGGUGGAAUUUCCUGUGUAGCGGUGAAAUGCGUAGAUAUAGGAAGGAACACCAGUGGCGAAGGCGACCACCUGGACUGAUACUGACACUGAGGUGCGAAAGCGUGGGGAGCAAACAGGAUUAGAUACCCUGGUAGUCCACGCCGUAAACGAUGUCGACUAGCCGUUGGGAUCCUUGAGAUCUUAGUGGCGCAGCUAACGCGAUAAGUCGACCGCCUGGGGAG